rnacentral:rRNA from 1 species
AACGAACGCUGGCGGCAUGCCUAACACAUGCAAGUCGAACGAGAUCUUCGGGUCUAGUGGCGCACGGGUGCGUAACGCGUGGGAAUCUGCCCUUUGGUUCGGAAUAACAGUUGGAAACGACUGCUAAUACCGGAUGAUGACGAAAGUCAAACGCUUUAUCGCCAGAGGAUGAGCCCGCGUAGGAUUAGCUAGUUGGUGUGGUAAAGGCGCACCAAGGCGACGAUCCUUAGCUGGUCUGAGAGGAUGAUCAGCCACACUGGGACUGGGACACGGCCAAGACGACUACGUGAGGCAGCAGUGGCGAAUAUUGGACAAUGGGCGAAAGCCUGAUCCAGCGAUGCCGCGUGAGUGAUGAAGGCCUUAGGGUUGUAAAGCUCUUUUACCCGGGAUGAUAAUGACAGUACCGGGAGAAUAAGCUCCGGCUAACUCCGUGCCAGCCGCCGCCGUAA